rnacentral:rRNA from 1 species
AACGAACGCUGGCGGCAGGCUUAACACAUGCAAGUCGAACGGUUGUAGCAAUACAGCAGUGGCAGACGGGUGAGUAACACGUGGGAACCUCCCUAAGGGUACGGAACAACUCAGGGAAACUUGAGCUAAUACCGUAUACGUCCGUGAGGAGAAAGAUUUAUCGCCCUUAGACGGGCCCGCGUCGGAUUAGCUGGUUGGGGGGGUAACGGCCUACCAAGGCGACGAUCCGUAGCUGAUCUUAGAGGAUGAUCAGCCACACUGGGACUGAGACACGGCCCAGACUCCUACGGGAGGCAGCAGUGGGGAAUCUUGGACAAUGGGCGCAAGCCUGAUCCAGCCAUGCCGCGUGAGUGAAGAAGGUCUUCGGAUUGUAAAGCUCUUUUGCCAGGGACGAUAAUGACGGUACCUGGAGAAUAAGCCCCGGCAAACUUCGUGCCAGCCGCCGCAGUAA